UACAAUGAAGUCCUAGGUAAAAAAUAAAUAUCCUUUGAUUUCAUUAUGUUAUUUAUCCAAUUUGAAAUGAAUCUUCAUGGGAAUAGAAAUAAGACCAAUUCAUGUGAUGUAGUUUUACCUGAAAUGAGAGCUAGAUUAAUUAUCUAAGUUAGGUUUGUAUAAUAGAGCAUGGGUUUUAAAGUCAGUCCGCCACUUAUUUGUGGUGUGGUAUUGGGGGAAAAAAUUCAAUAUUCUUGUAUCUGUAUUUGGGAUAAUUAACUAACUACUUCCUAGUGUUGUUGUGAAGAUUUCAUCAAGUAAUAUGUAAAAUGCUCAUCAAAGUGUCAGCACGUAGUAAGUAUUCAACAAACGUCAGUUCUCUUCUACUCUCCUUGAUAUUGGAAUAUGUAUCCAUUUACAGUAUAUAUCCACUUACUGUUUGUUUCCAUAAAAAACUGUUCUCUGUAAUGCUUACAAAGUGAUGGCUAAGUUAUGAAUUAUUCUACUUAUCUUUUUCAAAUGCCCCUAUUUUUUAAAAUUGUUUAUUUGCUUCAUUUUAUUAGGUCUUCGCCAACUAUAGUUAGUAACAAAAGAGUCAGUAAGAGAAAAUUUAUCCCACCAGCCUUCACAAAUGUCAGUACAAAAUUUGAACUACUCAGCCUAGGAGCAACAUUGAAGUUAGCUAGUGAGUUGAUUCAGGUACACAAGUUAAACAAGGAUCAAGCUACGGCUCUAAUUCAAAUAGCUCAAAUGAUGGCAUCACGUGAAAGCAUUGAAGAAGUGAAGGAACUGCAAACUCAUACCCUCCCUAUCACAAUCAUACAUGGUGUGUUUGGAGCAGGAAAGAGUUAUUUGCUGGCCGUGGUGAUUUUGUUCUUUGUACAGCUGUUUGAAAAGAGUGAAGCUCCCACCAUUGGAAAUGCAAGGCCAUGGAAACUUCUGAUUUCUUCUUCUACUAAUGUGGCUGUUGACAGAGUACUUCUUGGGCUUCUCAGUCUUGGAUUUGAAAACUUUAUCAGAGUUGGGAGUGUUAGGAAGAUUGCCAAACCAAUUUUACCUUAUAGCUUGCAUGCUGGCUCAGAAAAUGAAAGUGAACAGUUAAAAGAACUACAUGCACUAAUGAAAGAAGACCUGACUCCUACGGAAAGAGUCUAUGUGAGAAAAAGCAUUGAGCAGCAUAAACUGGGGACCAACAGAACCCUGCUGAAGCAGGUUCGAGUAGUUGGAGUUACCUGUGCAGCCUGCCCAUUCCCAUGCAUGAAUGAUCUUAAAUUUCCUGUAGUUGUGCUGGAUGAGUGUAGUCAGAUAACUGAACCGGCCUCUCUCCUUCCCAUUGCAAGGUUUGAGUGUGAAAAGCUGAUUCUUGUUGGGGAUCCCAAACAGCUACCUCCUACUAUUCAGGGUUCUGAUGCAGCUCAUGAAAAUGGAUUGGAACAAACUCUUUUUGAUCGACUUUGCUUAAUGGGUCACAAGCCAAUUCUAUUGAGAACUCAAUACCGUUGUCAUCCUGCAAUCAGUGCUAUUGCUAAUGAUCUGUUUUACAAAGGAUCCCUCAUGAAUGGUGUAACAGAAAUAGAGAGGAGCCCUUUAUUGGAAUGGCUACCAACCCUGUGUUUUUAUAAUGUUAAAGGACUAGAACAGAUAGAAAGAGAUAACAGCUUUCAUAAUGUGGCGGAAGCUACGUUUACACUCAAGCUGAUUCAAUCACUGAUUGCAAGUGGAAUAGCAGGCUCUAUGAUUGGCGUGAUAACAUUAUACAAAUCCCAGAUGUACAAGCUUUGUCAUUUACUCAGUGCUGUGGACUUUCACCAUCCUGAUAUUAAAACUGUGCAGGUGUCCACAGUAGAUGCUUUUCAGGGAGCUGAAAAGGAGAUCAUUAUUCUGUCCUGUGUAAGGACACGACAAGUAGGAUUCAUUGAUUCUGAAAAAAGAAUGAAUGUUGCAUUGACUAGAGGAAAGAGGCAUUUGUUGAUUGUGGGAAAUUUAGCCUGUUUGAGGAAAAAUCGACUUUGGGGACGAGUGAUCCAACACUGCGAAGGAAGGGAAGAUGGAUUGCAACAUGCUAACCAGUAUGAACCACAGCUGAACCAUCUCCUUAAAGAUUAUUUUGAAAAACAAGCGGAAGAAAAACAGAAGAAAAAGAGUGAAAAAGAGAAAUCUAAAGAUAAAUCUCAUUCACAAAAAGACAUGGUGUAAAUAUUUUGUAUUUAUGUAAAUUCAGACUCAUUUUACAUGAUAUAUUUUUUAUAUUUUUAUUACUCUAAACCCUCUUAUUAAAAAUAUGAUAUUUAAAUAACAU
rnacentral:sRNA from 1 species